GCUUGAUCCAUCCAAGGGUUAUAAUAAAUGGCAUUUUGGUAAAACUAGGAUUAGAUUUCCAAAAUUUGAAACGUAUAAACGCAGACAUUUUGUGAAACCCCAGCCAUAUUCCCUUACCUCACCCUCGCUCUGUCUCCCUCUCUCGACUCUCUCUCUUCGAUCACUCUCCUUUACUGUAUUUAAUCAGAAGACGGAAAAUCACUUCCACUCCGGUCAUGAUUAGUAGGCGGCGGCGGAGGGAGUUCUCCGGCAGCAUCAGCAGCCAAGUGGUUGUUUCUUCAGCAGUCGUUGUUUAAGCCCAGAGGUGUUGCCGUGUGGAUUUCCGAUGGCGAGUCUGAGUGUUUGCACCAAACGGAGCAAUGGUGGGAAACAAGCAAAGGGAACUGCAUUUCGAUGAGUGGGUGACCCUUCAUCGGUGAUCGGAGCAAAGCUUUUGAUUUCAGCCUUUGAUUCAUUCCUUAGCCAUGAUUUCGGUUGCUGAAACUGAUUUGCCUUUGUGCUAUUCUCAGGUAACUCUGGUAACAUGUCCCUUUCAUAAGCAUUCCAAGUAUUCGAAGAAAUGAUUUCAAUUUUUGAAGAUAAUUUCGGGCUCCGAUUCAUUCCUUAGCCAUGAUUUAUCCGAAGUUCAACAAAAUGGAAAAGACAUUCCCCAUGUAUUUUCAUUCCCUUAGCAUAGAGGUUGCCUUUAACUUUUACCAUACACGCCAAUUAUGUUAGUGUCUCACCAUUUUUUCCCAAGCUAACUGCCACCAUUAAAUUUCUGCCCCCUAUUCUAACGUUGAAAUUUAUGCCCCCCAUUCUAACGUUUACAUCCCACAUGUGGGUCAGAGGUGGCCUUUUUUCCUUUAGAGGGUCCUUGGAUUAAAGUAAAUUGUGCCUUCUUUGUAUUCUAUGUUUUGCUUCAUCGCUUUCCUAAUUUUGGCUUUACUGCCUUCUUUGCUUCACUCAAUUUUCAACGCAGCCCUCACAAUUACACGAAUACACAUUUUAGCUGAAACUGCAGCAAUGCUGUGGUUUUGAAAGGAAAAUUAGUUAAGGAAAUGGUAGUUCCAUGUUAGUUGCGCAGAAGUUUAAGUUAAACUGCUUUAUUUGAUUUGGAACUCUGUUAUUGAGGAACUCAAAAUUUCAGUAAGAUUAGUAUGCUUUAAUUGAUGGUAGUAAUCUUGAGGGUAGUAAUUUCAGUAAGAUUGGUAUGCUUUAAAAUGCCUCAACUAGAUUUCACCAGUUUUAGUGUACUGUGACUACUGUCUCACCAUUUUUUUUCCCUUGCUAACUGCCACCCGAAAACCAAUUCCCAUUAGAAAUUAAAAAUCACAACAGGUAAUCUUGGCAUCUUCACUUCACUGUUAGGAUGUGGUUAGUGGCGAAAGUUGUGAUGGCAAUACCAAUUUAGUUCCAAGACAUGAGCCUCAAAACUAUUAUUCAAUGAUGCAGUUUUUGCGGUUUUUAUGGAUGAGAAAUGUUAAAAGCUGAAAACUAUGACCACGUUUAGAUAUGCAUAUUAGAUAUGUGGUUCAUGUAUUGUAAUUGGUUCUCCUUCAUUCAUUUUGUGACAGAUUUGUAGAUGGAUGAUUUCUACAUUGAACCCAAAAUUUUAUCUUUUGUGCAGGAAGCGACUUUUUAACACAUCUCCCCCAUCCUCCACCCACACCACCGCUCACCUUGCCCCUACUCAAAGACAAAGAACCUCCCCUCGCAGCAGUAGGCCCUUCCGCCAAUGACCACCGGCAUCCUCCCAUCACCACCAUGGAGUGAUUCGGCCCCUCUUCUUUUCUAUCCUCCAUCUCCUCUAGCGAAAUCACAGCAAACGAUAACAACUAGGGGUAAAAACGUGUACUCAUUCAGUACCUUUCUUAUUCUUUUGGUCAAUCCUUAACUUGGUUUUCUAACAUGAUUUUUUAUCUUCAUAAGUAGAAUCCAUGUUUUUGUUAAACUUUGCAUUCAUGGUGUACAGAUGAAAACUGAAUAAUUAAGAUAAGGGCCGUUCCUUCU